CGAAUCCGCGCGGGAGAGUCCUGGUCACUGUUGGUGCCGGGCGCCGAAGGAGCAAGUCCCUCCCUUGAAUCUCUCAGGCCCAGUACCGCGCGGACGAG
rnacentral:ncRNA from 2 species